AUAUAAUGAUUUUAUUCUGGUUCCAGUUCUGUUUAUGAGCAAGGAAAGUUUUGUGACGUAUUUCACCUAAAGGCUUCCGGGUGGAGGUGUUGUGAGUCAUGUGGAAAGCGAGUUCAUUGUGGUUGUAUUGUCUCUGCAUCUGCUUAUAUGUUACUGGAUGCUGGAGGAAUUGAGUGUUUGGCUUGCGCAA